UUUACCAUGAUGACCCGAGUUUGAUCCUGUGAGACUGACGUCUGGCCUGUACCGGAAACCAUAAGGUUAUCGAACUCUGUACUCCGCUCCAGGGUGACGUAACUCUGAAUUGAAUCCAAAGAACGUAAAACUCUAGAAGCAAAUCAAUUAUGUUAAGAAAGCAAAAACCAGAACAGAAAUCAAGAGUCGUAAAAAUUACUUAGUUUUCCAUAGCAAACUUACUGUUCUCAUGAAUGAAUGUAUAUUAUAUCGCAGAUUGCCCACUUACGGUCUGCUGUUGUGGACUGUAGUUAUGAAUGUUAACUUGCAGGACGAUUUUCUCUCCUCGGAUCACGGAAUAUGGCAGAUUGACAGACACGAAAAACGGCAGAGUAACUUGAAGCUGCAGGAGAACAAACUCACAAGGUAAUUUAUUGUUAGAAGAAAAUCAAAAAGAUGUCAAAUGAUCCGUGUAUGGGUUAUAAUAUCAAUUUACAAUGGACCAACCUGCGCAGAUUGCUCCGACAUGCCCAGCCCUGUCUGUGGGUGCACCGCAAACGCUGUCGCCACCCAGGAGGUGAUGGUAUCGGGCACGGUCUCCUCAAAGUGCGCCACGCCCCCAGAUCUGUAAGGACCAGUUGCAGUUUAAUCGAACAUAUUAACCGUAAGGUACAGUUAACCCGUUGAAGAUAAGUUUUGCCGUAAAUGUUAAGUAAAAACGACCAUGCGUUUUAAUACAAAACUGGAAGAAAUGUACACAAUUUAUUCGACAGUUAAACAAGCAUGUAGACAUAAAACAUUACAUUUUACAUCGCUAAAAGGGGGUUAACUAACAUAAUUGACAUUAUUUAUUAGGCACAACAUUGAAUUGAAGCAAAUAUUAACCAUGCAUGCAUGCAUGCAAAGCUCGUUAUUCAACAUUUGGAAAGUGUCAAACAACAAUAUUUGAACAUACGUCACAAUUUGGCUUUUCCACAGCCAUGUUUCCGGAAACAAUUUUCUCGUCUGCUGAACAGGCACCAAAUCCUUUGGAGCGACAAUGGCGUGCACUUCAGGUAAAGACGCCAUGUGACGAAUUGGGGCGGAGGCAUCCGUCCAACGAGCACUCAGUAAGAAGCUUACUGGUUCUGACCGAAAUCUUCCCCAUCCUCGCCUUAACCAGGGCCUAGGUCUUGGCAUUGGUUCAGGAAUAUCUAGUCAUAAAAUCAUUCGCAAAAGCGUUGGAUCAUUCGCCGUUGUCCUCAGUAGUUCAGUCAUAUCAAGGGGACCAGUUAACUUACACUUCUAAGUUUUAACCGGUUAGAUGGUUUACCAAUGUAAGUUUACGCGAGUAUGCCAGUAACUGACAACUGCCUAACUGUAAUCAGCGAAAGUGAGAGAUGGGUAGUAAAAGAGCUAUCAUGUCCGAUUCCCAUACAAGUAAUAUUACCGGGCCGGGGAUUUAACCUUAUAAGUUAUAAGCCCGGUUUUUGUAAUAUAGCGUUCUACCAAUAGAGCUAUCAGACCAGGUUUUUGUGUGGAUAAAAUCAUAAUCGUGAUAACUAUUAUAACUAGUUUUGUUUGUAUGUGUAUUGCCUUUAUAUAAAUAAAUGUUUUUAAAUGUUUAUGGAAAUACCAGAUUUAAAAGUACGAUAUCACUUUACAGAUGCUUAACGAAUAUAUAGUAUAUGAAUAUAUGCCAUACCUGAUAAACCAUCUGAUAAUUUUAUUUUUGAAUGCAUGUUUAACACAACUGCGAACGCACAAUCAUAGAGAAUGUGCGUAUGCUUACAUCAAUGACAUCCUUGACGUCCUCCCCGCCAACCGGAAGUGGCCAUCGCCAGCAGAACCAGUCGCACACCGGAAAUGGACGACCUAACGACGAGGAGGUCAGAGACUUCAGUUGCGGCAGUGACCGCCACAGUCUCAGUUCCUGUCAGUUUUACCUCCACGGUGACCGGGCUUGACACUGGCCGAAGUAACUGACCAUGAACACUGUAUGUUUGACCAGGCCGAAAAGCGUUCGGCGCUACGAACAGGUGGAAAGGUACAAGAGUUCCCGGUGAUUAAAAUAAAGGCUGAAGACAUUGUGGACACCAAUGGUGCUGGUGAUGCAUUUGUGGGUGGGUUCCUAGCCUAGCUGAUCCAAGGCAAGCCUCUAGAAGAGUGUGUACGAUGUGGCAACUAUGCCGCUAAUAUUGUUAUACAGCGUUCAGGCUGCACAGUGCCUGCGAAACCUAACUUUAUAUAGGAGCGUAAAUUAGACUCACACAUUCCCUGAUAUGACCAGAUGAACAUGAAUUUGGUUGGAUAAAAAUCUUCAGAAAUUGUAUUGUGCUCUCAAACAAAGUUGAGAAGGUAACUAGGACGAAAGUUUAAAAAAAAAUUAGCACAAUCAAUUUAGAUAUAUAUCUUUAAAUCUACACAUUAAUUCAGGGAUUCUUUAUUGAACCUUAUAACUUAAACACAAAGUCAUUCACUUUGCAACUGUUAAAAAAUAAUAUCAUAUUGCUAGUCAUCAAAAUUCUAUUUUACUCAUUAGUGUGAUUGUGUAUCGAAGUAUCAAUGCAUUAAUUGUCAGAUUGGAAAAGAGUCCCAUGUUGUGAUGUAGUAUGAAUUGUUGGCAAAAAGGCACACAAAAAUAAUAUGUUAAUAUCCCUGUACCUUUGUUUCAUAUUGGCAGUCUGCAAAAUGGCUACUUUUUAUGUUUUUGCGCAGUUAUAUCCUUUAGGUGGAGUUGUGGACGAAAAAUGUCAUUUAUAGAGAUUUAGUCAGACUAAAAAGGGGGGGGGGGCGGGGCAGAAAAAUGGGCUAUUCUGCAUAAGCUUACAUUCUACUAUGAUUAAAGAUGUUUUUGUAUUUCUUUGUUGGUAUUUUAGUGUUAAAUUGGCAUUGUGGGAUUUAUUUUUUUUAUUUUGUCUCUGUCAUAAUUAUUUAAAUGUGGCAUUAAACACUAUAUAGGAAAUACUAAGUCUAUGUUCAAUUCAUAUUAUAGUAAUCAAGUAAGGCUUGGGAAAUAUUGGUUUUUCAAAGGAUUUGCAAGUGCUUCAGGUAUGUACCAAGUAAAUAAACUUACCUGUGUUGGGCUUUUGUCUGGUAUCUUUUUUAUCCAACUUAUUAAUCAAUUUUUCUGUCUCUAGUUUGAAAACAGCAGAAAAUGGCUCAAAUAUGAUGAGUAUUGACCUUAUGGUCAUAAACAAAAUGCCGUUUCCUGAAUGUGAAAAUUCUGAAAUAAAGCUAAGUUUAUACCAAGUUUUUUAUGCCCUCGGUAGGGUGGAAUAUAGCAGUUGAACCGUCCAUCUGUGUGUCAGUCCGUCCGAAAACUUAAACAUUUGCCAUAAAAUAUUGCAAUAUUGAAGAUAGCAACUUGAUAUUUGGCAUGCAUUUGUAUGUCAUGAAGCUGCACAUUUUGAGUGGUGAAAGGUCAAGGUCAUCCUUCAAGGUCAAAAGUAAAAAAAUACAAUCGAAGGGAAGUUAUGAGCUUUAAAAGGGAGAUAAUUUCUAAACCUGCCAAAUGAUAUAUUGAAAUUUAUUUCAAAGUGGCGCAAUAGGGGGCAUUGUGUUUCUGACAAACACAUCUCUCGUUUAUUGUGACAAUUAGUAUCUGAUAAGGAAAUUAAGUAUUUCUAAGUAAUUAAAUAUUCUCGGGAAUGGUGAAUUUAAGUAUGUGUAAUGAAAGUCUAUCUAUCUUAAAACAAGUAAGUAUAUACAUGUACAUGCUUAUAUGUACUUUUAUAUUUACAUUACGGUUUUGACUGCCCUGCACUAUUUUACCAUGUGCAUGUAUUAAACGAUCAAGGUGUAGUUGAGCAGUAAAGACACAGACUAUUUCUAUGUAUUUAAUUCAGUCUUUAUGCUCACAUUUGUCACAUCCAUUUAUGUUUAUUUUUUGUUGCUUGUUACACGUACUGUUGUUAAUUUGUUUUCAUCGAAUUUUUUUUGUGGAUUAUAUACCGU